CACUACAGCAUUACCACCUUGAAUGUGCUCAAUCCUGUCUGAUCUCGGAAGCUAAGCAGGGUUGGGCCUGGUUAGUACUUGGAUGGGAGAUCAUCUAGGAAGAUGAGGUGCUGUAGCGU
rnacentral:rRNA from 1 species